rnacentral:lncRNA from 1 species
CCUUUUCCUUUUGUUCUAUUUUUCUUCUCAGGAGGCGAGAAUGUAGCGAGUACUAGUCGGGGUAUGGAAUAAAGGUUUUCGAAAGUUAUUUUAGUAGUCCUCACUAUUUUUGUAAAAUAAUGUAUCAAUAAUUGUACUGAGGACUUAUUUGAGUGUGGAUAUUGUCUAGAUGACAAUAUUUGUAUUUAAACUCACAGUUUUUAUGUUGUAUUAAUAAAGUUGUAGUUGUUUCUGUACCCUGUAUUUUGACGACUCAGAAUGGGUGUUGUAUACCUAUUUUGGGGGCGUCACAGUUGGUAUCAGAGCUUAGGGAUAUGGUCUCUGGCGGAGAUCGGAG